UAGAAAGCCUUGACUGAAAAAAAUGUCCCUGCUCUGACACAGGGUUCUCUCUAGUCAUGGACAACUGUGAAGAGAAUAUGCAUAUGAUUGAACAUUUCCCCUCAAAAUAUGCCUCUUUAUUGUGAUAUCAUAAAUAUUUAUGCACUUCUAAUUAUUAAAGUGUGCAAAAUUACUGUGAAGAAAGGGACUUCAUCUAACCCCAGGCUUUUCUUAUUAUUCUCAAAGCAGAGCCAUUAACUUUCUCUAACUUUUGCUUCAGGUGUUGAAAAGCUAAUUCACAGCUCCCCAGCUGCCUACUUGUGGGGACAGCUUUCUUCGGCUGCAGGCAGUAAUUGCUUUACUGCUAUCCUAAAUUGCCCUGGAGAAGAAAGCAAAGCUUUGCUUGCUUUAUCCUGUGGAUUUAAAGCAGUGCCUAUACUUGCUCUGCAUAGAAGAGAACUUCUCCUACAGAUAUUUUUAUUCUAAUCCACGCAACACAUUCCAGUUGAAACAAGAUUUUGAAGACACGCCCUAGUGUACAUUUUAUCUGCACUGGCCUCAUGAGGAAAAUCAAAUAAGAUUAUCUUACAUUACAAAAUUUUCUUGCAUACUUUAUGCAACAGUGGAAACAACACAGGAUUGGAAUUAGAAGACCUGGUUUUAAAUACCAAAUUGUUCCCCAGAAUGAUCUGAUCCUACUGCUUAGCCUAUCUGGAUGUCAGUUUCUACAUCUCUAAAAGGAAGGUACACACAGAGGAGAAUGCUAUCUGAAGAUGGAGGCAGAGAUUGAAGUGAUGCAUCUACAGGGAUUGCUGGCCGCCACCACAAGCUAGAAGAAGCAAGGGAGGAUUAUUCCCUAGAGCCUUUGGAUGGAGCAAGUAGAAUCCAAGAAGACUCUAAAACCUCCAGUACUCAUGAAGAGAUGAGUUUGCUCAUUAUCAAUCUCAUUGAUCCUUAGCAUCGGAGCUGAGAGGGAGCCAGGAUGUUCAUCACACUGUGUAAAUGGCCUCUGUGAAGAACUUCCUGGGGUAUGGUCCAGCUUCCUGGAAUGGAAAAUUCUUCAAAUCAAAGGCAGAGGGUAAGGAAGAAAAUGAGAACUGAAACUGCUCCAAUCCCAGCUAGGAGAGAGGAAGAACUGUAAAGAAACCCCCCAAAUUACAUUGUAGAAUUAUUUUUCCCUAUGGUAUUAGGUUGAUCCCCCUUUCCUGGCCACCAGCAGCCCCUUUCCACACUUCUAGGAGCACCAGGAUCAAUUACCAUUCAUUGUUAUUUCAUGUGCAUAGACAACAGAACUUGCUGCUGUCAUAAAAGUAAAGGAACAGAUUUCUUAAAUUGCUACUUGAAGGAGCUCUUCUAUAUCAGUGCCAUUAAAUUAAAUUUCUGCUCUGUAUAAUGCAUAAAAAUGGCUUGUGAAUUUUUUUUCCUUGGGUGACUCAUUUUGUUUGAACUCCAAAGCAAUUCCUCAGAAACGGAAAGAGGCUAUUUAAAAAUGAGCUGUGAGAUUGUCAUUAAAAAUCAUUUUUUUUAAAGCAAAGGAGGUCUCUCCUAGCACCAAAUGAUAAAAUACAAAUUUGAGAAUCCUGAACUCAGUUCUCAAAGGUAUCACCUUUGAAAAGGAAGUUUAAAAAAUAUUAAGUAACCUUUUAAAAAGUAAUUUUAAGGAAGUGAAGAAAUAAGAAUAAAAUCUUAAUUUUUAAGUGAAAAACUUUACUUUUUCUUAAGAGAAGAGUUUCUUGGUACCUCUUUCUGUCUUUUGUUUUUGUUUUUGUUU
rnacentral:lncRNA from 1 species